rnacentral:rRNA from 1 species
AGCAGCCGCGGUAAUUCCAGCUCCAAUAGCGUAUAUUAAAGUUGUUGCAGUUAAAAAGCUCGUAGUUGAAUUUCGGGGUUUAUCCGUUGGUCGGGCUUUUUGGUCUGUACUGGCGUGAUGGAUUCCUACCUUCUGAAUAACCGGCAUGUCAUUAAUUUGGUGCGCCGGGGAAGCAGGACUGUUACCUUGAAAAAAUUAGAGUGCUUAAAGCAGGCUUAUGCCUGAAUACAUUAGCAUGGAAUAAUGAAAUAGGACGGCAUGGUUCUAUUUUGUUGGUUUCUAGGAUCACCGUAAUGAUUAAUAGGGAUAGUUGGGGGCAUUAGUAUUCAAUUGUCAGAGGUGAAAUUCUUGGAUUUAUUGAAGACUAACUUCUGCGAAAGCAUUUGCCAAGGAUGUUUUCAUUAAUCAAGAACGAAAGUUAGGGGAUCGAAGACGAUCAGAUACCGUCGUAGUCUUAACCAUAAACUAUGCCGACUAGGGAUCGGACGAUGUUAA